UAGGGAAUCUUCGGCAAUGGGGGCAACCCUGACCGAGCAACGCCGCGUGAGUGAAGAAGGUUUUCGGAUCGUAAAGCUCUGUUGUAAGUCAAGAACGGGUGUGAGAGUGGAAAGUUCACACUGUGACGGUAGCUUACCAGAAAGGGACGGCUAACUACGUGCCAGCAGCCGCGGUAAUACGUAGGUCCCGAGCGUUGUCCGGAUUUAUUGGGCGUAAAGCGAGCGCAGGCGGUUUGAUAAGUCUGAAGUUAAAGGCUGUGGCUCAACCAUAGUUCGCUUUGGAA
rnacentral:rRNA from 1 species